AUUAUACAGCGAAACUGCGAAUGGCUCAUUAUAUAAGUUAUCGUUUAUUUGAUAGUACCUUACUACUUGGAUAACCGUGGUAAUUCUAGAGCUAAUACAUGCUGAAAAUCCCGACUCCGGAAGGGAUGUAUUUAUUAGAUUCAAAGCCAACGCCCUCUGGGCUCACUGGUGAUUCAUGAUAACUCCUCGAAUCGCACGGCCUUGCGCCGGCGAUGGUUCAUUCAAAUUUCUUCCCUAUCAACUUUCGAUGUUUGGGUAGUGGCCAAACAUGGUUGCAACGGGUAACGGAGGGUUAGGGCUCGACCCCGGAGAAGGAGCCUGAGAAACGGCUACUACAUCCAAGGAAGGCAGCAGGCGCGCAAAUUACCCAAUCCCGACACGGGGAGGUAGUGACAAUAAAUACCGAUACAGGGCUCUUUUGGGUCCUGUAAUUGGAAUGAGUACAAUUUAAAUCCCUUAACGAGGAACAAUUGGAGGGCAAGUCUGGUGCCAGCAGCCGCGGUAAUUCCAGCUCCAAUAGCGUAUAUUAAAGUUGUUGUGGUUAAAAAGCUCGUAGUUGAACCUUGGGCCUGGCUGGCCGGUCCGCCUCACCGCGUGUACUGGUCCGGCCGGGCCUUUCCCUCUGUGGAACCCCAUGCCCUUCACUGGGCGUGGCGGGGAAACAGGACUUUUACUUUGAAAAAAUUAGAGUGCUCCAGGCAGGCCUAUGCUCGAAUACAUUAGCAUGGAAUAAUGAAAUAGGACGCGCGGUUCUAUUUUGUUGGUUUCUAGGACCGCCGUAAUGAUUAAUAGGGACAGUCGGGGGCAUCAGUAUUC
rnacentral:rRNA from 1 species